UACGGGGGGGGCAAGCGUUGUUCGGAAUUACUGGGCGUAAAGGGCUUGUAGGUGGCUCGCUAAGUCAGACGUGAAAUCCCUCAGCUUAACUGGGGAACUGCGUCUGAGACUGGCGAGCUUGAGUGCAGGAGAGGAACGCGGAAUUCCAGGUGUAGCGGUGAAAUGCGUAGAUAUCUGGAGGAACACCGGUGGCGAAGGCGGCGUUCUGGACUGCAACUGACACUGAGGAACGAAAGCCAGGGGAGCAAACGGG
rnacentral:rRNA from 1 species